rnacentral:misc_RNA from 1 species
UUUCCGUAGGUGAGCCUGCGGAGGGAUCAUUACAGAGUUCUCGCCCUUACGGGUAGAUCUCCCACCCACUGUUAACGUUACUGUCGUUUCUUUGGCGGGCCGCCGGGUCCCCCGGCCGCCGGCGUCUAAUAGGCGGCGCGCGCCCGCCAGAGGCCUCCAAACUCUGAAUUUUAGUGUCGUCUGAGUACUAUAUAAUAGUUAAAACUUUCAACAACGGAUCUCUUGGUUCUG